UACGUAGGGUGCAAGCGUUAAUCGGAAUUACUGGGCGUAAAGCGUGCGCAGGCGGUUUUGUAAGUCUGAUGUGAAAUCCCCGGGCUCAACCUGGGAAUUGCAUUGGAGACUGCAAGGCUAGAAUCUGGCAGAGGGGGGUAGAAUUCCACGUGUAGCAGUGAAAUGCGUAGAGAUGUGGAGGAACACCGAUGGCGAAGGCAGCCCCCUGGGUCAAGAUUGACGCCCAUGCACGAAAGCGUGGGGAGCAAACAGG
rnacentral:rRNA from 1 species